GUAAGCGCUAUAAAUCUACUUUUAUUCAUAGAUUUUAACUGAUAUAAACUUGGAUGUCAUGAAAGAGGAGUAGUGUUUUGUAUUUUGUAGGUUUUCUAAUUCAAUUUAAUAAAUAAAUGCUCUGUUUGGUUAAUUAGCUCAAAAGCAGUCUCAGAGGUGGUCUAAGACACAACCACAUAUCAUCCAAAUCAUCUCCAAGUGGAUGGCAGCAAGGAUCCAGGAUCAAGAGAUGAUUCAUCAUGAAGACUGUUCCAUAGGAAGCAGUGAAUCCUGGGUGAACAACUAAACCUGGUUGUUUCAGCAUCACUCAGAUUUGAGGGAAAGAUGAAAAAUCAGGAGGUCUGGGAACGACUGAAGAAGACAGCAGUGAGGGAAGGAAGUAAUCACCAAAUCUGCCAGAGAAGGAUAUUGACGGUGCAGGCUCAGGAUGAAGAAGAGGAGGAAGAACAUAGGAACUCUUUCCUGAAGAAGAUCAGGUGCUGAGAAGGAGCCUUGUUCUACAGCAAAACACUGCAUCAAGCCUCCUGUCCUUCCCUCAGAAGAGCCUGUCUUCUGCUGCUGGGGUAAGAAAGACCCUCUUCCUCUUCUCUAUCGGCUGUCCAGCACCUAACUCUGCCUCCUCAGCACUGACUGAAAGAGUCUUCUCCACAGUCCGUUAUCAGAGUAUUCACAGAUUCUCCUGAGAAAGUCAAUAUGCUCAUUUUCUUAAACUGUUUAUGUUUUUUUGGGGUGGGACAAAUAAUACAGGAGAGAUGCUAGAAAUCCCUAUAUUGUUCAUUUUUCAUAUCUUUACGCUUUAUGAAUGUUUUUUUUUAAUCUUUUGAGAAGCUCAAGAAUUAUGGUUCUUUGGUAAUUGCAAUAUUGUUUAGGUUUAUCUUCUGAUAGUGAGCCCCGCA
ensembl:lncRNA